AUUGAACGCUGGCGGCAUGCCUUACACAUGCAAGUCGAACGGCAGCACGGGGGCAACCCUGGUGGCGAGUGGCGAACGGGUGAGUAAUACAUCGGAAUGUACCCAGUAGUGGGGGAUAACUAGUCGAAAGAUUAGCUAAUACCGCAUACGCACUAUGGAUGAAAGCGGGGGAUCGCAAGACCUCGCGCGAUUGGAGCGGCCGAUAUCAGAUUAGCUAGUUGGUGGGGUAAAGGCCCACCAAGGCGACGAUCUGUAGCUGGUCUGAGAGGACGACCAGCCACACUGGAACUGAGACACGGUCCAGACUCCUACGGGAGGCAGCAGUGGGGAAUUUUGGACAAUGGGCGCAAGCCUGAUCCAGCCAUGCCGCGUGAGUGAAGAAGGCC
rnacentral:rRNA from 1 species